UUUAGGAUAGAUUUGGUGUAAGAGAAAAUGGAAUAAUUGUAGGUAGAGAUCUUAUUUUCCUUCUGUUUAUAAUGGAAUAAUUUAUGAUAUUUAAGUUAUUAUUUUUUGUCAAAGGAGAAAAAGAGUGAGAAAAAAUGAGAGAAAAUAUUAGGUUAGGAAAAGUGAAAACAAUUUUUUUUUAUUUUUCAAAUAAUGUAAAUAUUAUUUAAAAUAUAUGUUAUGUUAGAUGACAUAUGAUAUUUGAGGUGAAAAUUUAAUCAAUCAAAUAAUGUUAUAUGUCAGAAUCUUUGACACAUGAUACGAUCGUUAACAGCAUUAGUAAUCACUAAUAGAGAGAGAUUAAUUCAAACAUUUUUUGAAAGUACAAGAAUUAAUUUAAUACAAAAUUAAAGUAGAGAUAAAAUCGAAUAAAAAUAAAUAGCACAGGUACUAAAAAUUUGUUUUAACGAUUAGUGUAGUAUUGCUAACUUUAACUUCCAUUUCUUAGAGGGGACUUGCAUUCACGUUGGGCCUGCUAUCUUUGGUUUACAUAUAUUUGAUCAAUGUAGUGUCUGCUAUCUUUGGCUUCUAUGUCUUAGAGAGUGACCUUGGUACUUCCUUGAUGAGGAUGAUCUCCACAUAAGCAAUUCUUAGAUUUUUGACUGUUAUCUAUGUUUACGACAGUGAAUGUCUUCAAUAUUCUGUUCUCUCGUCGUUUUAAACAACUUAUGAUUAUGAAAUACUAACUCAAGUUUACAUUCUUUUAACUGUAUAGUUCCUCCGCAUGUUACUUAAGCUUGUCUCGUUUUUCUUUUGGGCACUUAAACACAUUGAGAUAUAGUUGUAUCCAUUUGGAUCCAAAGCAUGAAGAAUAUUCAUUGUUUUCGCAUUGACUUAGAGCUUUCUUUUUUAUCUGCAUCCAUCCAUUUCUCUUGUGUCUUAGGUGUGUGUUCACCCUUUUAAAUUUUCAUUGGAUUCGUAAGUCUUUUUAGAAUUGGUAUCUAAAAUACUAACAUGUAGGUUCGAAUCAUA
rnacentral:lncRNA from 1 species